rnacentral:rRNA from 1 species
GGAGGGUGCAAGCGUUAAUCGGAAUUACUGGGCGUAAAAGCGCACGCAGCCGGUUGGAUAAGUUAGGAUGUGAAAGCCCCGGGCUCAACCUGGGAAUUGCAUUUAAAACUGUCCAGCUAGAGUCUUGUAGAGGGGGGUAGAAUUCCAGGUGUAGCGGUGAAAUGCGUAGAGAUCUGGAGGAAUACCGGUGGCGAAGGCGGCCCCCUGGACAAAGACUGACSSNCAGGUGCGAAAGCGUGGGGAGCAAACAGGAUUAGAUACCCUGGUAGUCCACGCCGUAAACGAUGUCGAUUUGGAGGCUGUGUCCUUGAGACGUGGCUUCCGGGACKAACGCGUUAAAUCGACCGCC